CAGACACAGUCGCGCAGCAACAAACAUUGGCGGGCAAAUAGAACUAACGCAAUCCUGCGACUGGGUGUCUCGUACACCUGGCGCCAAUAUCUAUGUGAAUAUGUAAUCAGAGCAACCAAAUGGGAGAUUUUCUGCUCUCAGAAGCAGUGCACGUAGUGGUGUGUCUACAAUCGGCUGCUGGAUGUCUAAUCAGUCAGUCCGCCAAAAGAGGGGAUGUCUGGACAUUCGGUGUCGGUUAUCCAAAGCAACCUGGGAUACAUUUGCUAAAAGUGACUAAAAUUUAGCUCGUGUUACUGCUGCUACUGCUACUGCUCUUCAGUUAUGAAAGCCAGAACACGGCUGCCAUAGCAAGUCCCCGGACAGCUUAUUGCCACAAUCUGUUUACUCGUAUUCCUGCAAUGUGAACCCAUAGGCCUCAGUGGCAAUAUCAUUACUUAAUAACAAUGCUGAGAAUUGUUGUUUCCGUUAUGUUGCUUUUAAAAUCGUCGAAAACAAAUGCUUGAAAUGGAAUCGCAGUUAAGCCUAUAAUAAUUAGUCUAUUUUCAUUUUCCAGAAUUUUAGGGUUAGUUGUGGGCCUGAACCAGACCCCUAUGUUUAUAGAGACUGUAACUAUCAUGUGUAAUGAUUAUCGUAUAAAAUACGUGGCAUUUACGUGUCACCUCAGUUUACCUGUGCGCUGCGUAAGCAGAAAUCUUUUUAGUGAAAGGAAGAUAGUUGUAAAUUUACAAGUAAGAACUGAUAUCACAGUCUUUUGAUUAAAAAUAGACAUCUGUGGAGGCAAAAAAAGAAUAGAACUUCCGAUUAAGUCAAGUGUGAAUUUCUAUAGUAUAAUUGAAAAGAAAAAAGACUAAAACACACGAAACGAUUACGCCGAAUUAUAACUUGAGCCCAUCCCUAAAACCCAAACAACUCCUUUAAGAGAAAUUUAUUCAUUCGAUAGAUCUACAGGCCAGAUCAUUUGAUAAGCAGUUUUCGGUGCGUAUUUCAAAUAUGUGAUAAUUCUAGAACCGUCUGCUGUUGAUGCCUGCUCAACCUGUUUUCGCUGGGUAGUGCUCAAAAUAAUUUACACUUAAAGAAAAAUUAUAGUUUUUUUUUCAAAGGGAGUAUUUUAAGGUUUACCGCAAUUGACAUGUGCCAAAAUCGAUGCCCCUAACAAACAUUAUUUACUGAAUAAUUAAGGCAGUUAGUGGUCACAUCAGCUUUGAAUUAACACAGUCUAACGCACUAUAAUUUGUGUAAAUCACAAUACAAAUAAUUAAUGAGGUGGUCAGUCUUACAAAUACUUUAAUCAUCUUUACAGUGGGUGGUAUUACCAUAUAUAUACUUAUUGAAUACCGCAGAUAUUGCUGUAUUGGACCGAAAAGAUUUGGAGUCAGUAACAUUUUUGUCAGGUUCUCAGUUAUCUUCGAAGGGCAUUCGGUUUUGCAAAUAAAAAGUAAAUUGUGUUAAAAUAAAUAGCCCCUUAUUUUAUUUAAAGAAAUUCCUCUUAAAAGCACUAUUGACAUUCAUUAGAUUUAUCAGGGCAUAGACAUAGUUCGCUUCGUACUGGGCUCCAGCCGUCUUAAGGAAUGCGUAAAGGCUAAAACUCGAAACAUCAAAACUUCGUCGAAUUAAAUUGCAAGUUACAUUAACAUUUAAAAUUAAUUCUGAUAUAGAAGCCAAUUGAGCAAAUAAUGGAUUUUCCUCGUCCGUCGAAGCAAUUUGUGUUUAUACUUGCUGGAGCAAGGUGGAUUUACAGUGAGUUCCGCAUGAGGGAAGUGCAUAAGGGCAUAUAGCUUUUUCAGGGAUUAUAAAACGUAGAUGCAUGUGGAUGAACAUGAAAAGAAAUCCUCGAUUCUGCUCGCUUGAGGCUCUCAAAGUAAAAGCAGAUGGCCCACGCAGGGAUCGAACCUACGACCUUCGCGUUAUUAGCACGACGCUCUAACCGACUGAGCUAGUGGGCCAUGCCUAAAAUCGGCACUUCAAUGAAAAACAUGCGCAAAUUACUCACCGAUUUAGAAUACGUGUGUAUGUAGCUUGGACUGCCACGGAUUGCGUACGUGAAUUGAUGAGUGACGCAAUUAGCUGUCAUAUCCUCCUUGAAUAUGAUUACUUCAAAUAAUUUGUUUUUGGAAUAAAACACUUCGCUUCAAAUAUUAUGUAUUUACAUUUUUACAAAGGUCAAUGUUAUGACAAAAUGGCUGUUUUACUGUACAAAGGUGGAUCAAUGUUUAAGAAUUUUUAAAUAAAAUAUAUCUAAUAUAGUUGAAAUCCUUUA
rnacentral:tRNA from 1 species